CGGUUAAUAUUAUAAGUGAGCA
rnacentral:siRNA from 1 species